rnacentral:rRNA from 1 species
GCGGCGGACGGGUGAGUAACACGUGGGCAACCUGCCCUGCAGACUGGGAUAACUUCGGGAAACCGGAGCUAAUACCGGAUAACACCGAAAACCGCAUGGUUUUCGGUUGAAAGGCGGCUUUUACCUGUCACUGCAGGAUGGGCCCGCGGCGCAUUACCUAGUUGGGGAGGUAACGGCUCACCAAGGCGACAAUGCGUACCCAACCUGAAAGGGUGACCGGCCACACUGGGACUGAGACACGGCCCAGACUCCUACGGGAGGCAGCAGUAGGGAAUCUUCCGCAAUGGACGAAAGUCUGACGGAGCAACGCCGCGUGAGCGAAGAAGGUCUUCGGAUCGUAAAGCUCUGUUGUCAGGGAAGAACAAGUGCCGUUCGAACAGGGCGGUACCUUGACGGUACCUGACGAGGAAGCCACGGCUAACUACGUGCCAGCAGCCGCGGUAAUAC